CGCAGUUCGAGAGCUGUGAAGAUGAAGAGUUGCAAGAACAAGAGUUGAAGAGUCCGAGCCGUUAUUAUAUACAUUUAAGGCAAGUAUAUUCCUUGAUCAUAUUUUAUCCUAAUAAUAUUUAUUUUACAUUUGCAUGCAUUAAUAUUGAUGGUACCUAUUAUCCUAUUUUAUUAUCCAUGUCCUUGAAUAGCCGAGUUUCUUUUAUAAAUUUUUUUGGGUAGUUUGCUUAGUUGCUGAACAAUGGUUACGGGUUCUUUACAACAAUGCUAUUUGAUACAUGAGACUUUAUUGAGUAUCUUUUGGAACACUACGAUGAUUUUGUGAAUUUGAUUAAAAUCAAUCAUGGAGCGACCACCCGGCAAAACAGCGCAACCACAAGGACUAUAUGGCUCUGGUCUUAACUGAUUAAUUUGAUGUCUUUAGCUUGUUAGAAGCUGACAGAAAGGCGCAUGAGGGGGCCUAUGAUGAGGGGUUCGCUGCCUACCAAGGGUGCAUUUUGUUUGGUUUUGGUCACGCCUUGGGGGAGGUUCACUCACGCAGCUGCUGAAACCAUAGCGGGCUACUACUGGCUAGGAAGUCUUUGUAAUGACCUCGUAGUGAUUCCCUACCACUCACUAAAGGAAGUGUUUAAGGGCCUUGCAGACCCGGGCACAAAGGGAGAAACGACUUGUGGUGAAAGUGCGCAAUCUCUGCAGAGUGAAAACUGAUAUAUCAGUCAUGCUCACGGUCAAGAGCGGCUCGAACCCUCACAUGUCUACUUAAUGAAAAUUAUUGAUUAAUUCAGUUAUUAAAUAUUCCAAGCUUAUUAUUUUUUCAGACAUAUACUUCUUUUUAUAAAUGUGGGAUGGUUUCAUAUAUUAUUUAGUAAAUAGGCUUUAAUGUUCAACUGUUAAUUCAAAAUGCUUACCGUUUUAUUCAGCCAGCCUUUAUCCUUGCUUAAGCCGCAUGUCAUUUAUUUUUCUAAUAUACUUGCUGAGUACGACAUGUGCUCACCCUUGCUAUACCAACACUGCUUAGAGGAGAAAGUUGCAAUGAAGCUUGUGGAAGAUGUUGCUGAGUUCUAGGCGUACGCAACCCUGGUCGAUAGCCUAUGAAGUGUGGAGCCGUCGUUUCCAAGAUAAGCUAUGUAUCUUUGAUAGACUUUUAUUCAUUGUAAGUCUCUUUUUCGUGACAUUGUUACUCAUUAUUCCAUUAUAACGUCACUAUAUGUAUGGAACUUGAUCCUAACAUUUUCUUUUAAAAACCGGAUGUGACACCUGUGCGGCUCCUCUCCUCUGUCUACGAAGCCUGCUCCUCAGUCUGCGAAGCCCUGGCAAUUCUAUGGCCACCCAAACAACAGCUUUGUUAUUGACAGGAUAUCUCUGCUGUCAUGUUGUGGUACGAUGCUCAUUUCAGAUGCCAUAGGCUGUUUCCCCUCUCCCUCAACCCUGCAAUCUGGACUCCUACUUGAAAGGGGCUUCUGGGGAAGCAAGAAUUGGAGUUGUCAUCCGUGACCUUCUGGCCAGUGUCAAGCUGACAGCAUCGAAGACAAUAUUCAACGCUUUGAAUGCUGAGGAGAUGAAAGCUUUGGCACGCAAAGAUGACAUUGGCCUGGCUGGUGAAUGGUUCCAGGAGCCAGUCGUCAUGGAAUCAGACUGCGCGGCGGCUGUCCAAUAUUUGGAGGUGAAGGUAUUGAAGCCUGCAUGUGAGCAUGUCUCCAUCAUUCAGGAGGCUUCUCAUGCGGCUAAUAGAUUGCUAGGUUUUGAGUUGAAUCAUGUAAAGAGAGAAAUUUAGUAGUUGAUGAUCUUGCACAAAUGGUGAAGCGUCUGAACCACAGUGCUGUGUGGCGAGGCUGUUAUCCUGCUUGUAUCGAGCCAUUGAUUGCUCUUAAU